CAGGGAGACAACAAAAUGUUUAAUAUUUAUUAUUUUGUCACCUUAGGUCGAUCGGUAUCUCACGUUUUUAAUUUAUUAAGAAUUUCAUUUCCUAAGUUUUUCUAGGUCACACCCAUUAUUUUUCCUGGGCCAUUAGCUCAGGUGGUUAGAGCGCACCCCUGAUAAGGGUGAGGUCCCUGGUUCAAGUCCAGGAUGGCCCAUAUCUCUAUGUUGGGGGUAUAGCUCAGUUGGUAGAGCGCCUGCUUUGCAAGCAGGAUGUCAGCGGUUCGAGUCCGCUUACCUCCACUGAUUACCACCUCUUCCAUAACCGGUAUUAAGGAAAUGUUGUGAGUUGUGAUCAAAUUCUGAAAGAAUCUAGCUUCCUAAUGAGAUCAUUAAGAUGCUGGACUCAUUGAAUUAAUUUCAUUGUUUUCAGAGAACCUUGACAACUGCAUAGAUUAUUUUUAAAGACAAUAAGCAUCUUUAAUGAUGCAGAUUUAUUAUUUGUGCGAAUGCAUUAAUAACAAUUCUAUUAAGCUGAUGCUUCAAUUUUUGAAGUUAUU
rnacentral:tRNA from 1 species